rnacentral:rRNA from 1 species
CCUACGGGAGGCUGCAGUGAGGAAUAUUGGUCAAUGGACGCAAGUCUGAACCAGCCAAGUAGCGUGCAGGAUGACUGCCCUAUGGGUUGUAAACUUCUUUUGUAUGAGAGUAAACUGUUCCACGUGUGGCAUUUUGUAUGUACCAUAUGAAUAAGGAUCGGCUAACUCCGUGCCAGCAGCCGCGGUAAUACGGAGGAUCCGAGCGUUAUCCGGAUUUAUUGGGUUUAAAGGGAGCGUAGGGGGAUUGUUAAGUCAGUUGUGAAAUUUUGCGGCUCAACCGUGAAAUUGCAGUUGAAACUGGCAGGCUUGAGGACAGUAGAGGUGGGCGGAAUUCGUGGUGUAGCGGUGAAAUGCUUAGAGAUCACGAAGAACUCCGAUUGCGAAGGCAGCUUACUGGACUGCAACUGACACUGAGGCUCGAAAGUGUGGGUAGCAAACAGGAUUAGAUACCCGAGUAGUC